UAUUGAAGCCAUUGGGGUAAACUUAUGCAUGGGUCCAUCGGAAAAGGUUGAGAUGUCAAAGCUGGGAUACGAGAUAUUUUCAACCAUUCUCUUAACUGGAUUGUUCAUAACCGGAGAGUUUGAAAUUGGCACAACAUUCUUCGCCCAGGUGCCGUCUCGUCACAAUUCAUCCAGAACGCGUAAAACUCAAUGCAAAGAAGGAAGUUGAAAAUGCGUCCUCGGUGCCUUUCAAGGAAAAAAACCACGAUUUUCCAAAAGACCACCCUCUAACCAAUUCAUUCAUCAAUCCCUCUACGCACUUUAUCCUAAACAAAAUAUGAUAUUUUGUUUAGGAUUAAGAGUAGACAAACUGGGAAUAUUUUGAUAAAGAAAAAAUCAAUAUUAAAUCCUUGUAAAUAUUUUUUGGCUUGCACACAGAAACAAAAGUAUCAUGUACAUU
rnacentral:lncRNA from 1 species